AACGUAGGAGACAAACGUUAUCCGGAGUUACUGGGCGUAAAGGGCGUGUAGGUGGUUUCGUAAGUCUGGCGUGAAAUUUUUCGGCUUAACCGGGAAAGGUCGUCGGAUACUGCGGAACUAGAGGACGGUAGAGGCGUGUGGAAUUCCGGGUGUAGUGGUGAAAUGCGUAGAGAUCCGGAGAAACACCAGUGGCGAAGGCGACACGCUGGGCCGUACCUGACACUGAUGCGCGACAGCAUGGGGAGCAAACAGG
rnacentral:rRNA from 1 species